AACAACGGCAUUAGAAAAAUCACAUUUUAUUGGUUAAAAGAUUAAUUUAAAUACAACCCCAAUUCCAGAGAAUUUGGGACGUUUUGUAAUAAUGCAAUAAAGUCAAGAAUCUGUGAUCAGAUCAAAGUGAAAAGGUUAUAGAAUAUCCACUUUAAACGGUUUUGAAACAGUUCACAGUAAGCAGGUGAAUUGGUAAUAGGUCAAGGUAUCAUGUUUGGGUAUAAAAGGAGCAUCUCAGUCUUUGCAAGCAAAGCUGGAUCAUGGCUUUUCACUUUAUGCCAAAUUUCAUGAGAGAAGUGUCAAAUCAAAAAUCACAUUUCGUAAUGCAAAAUUGCAAAGAAUUCAGGUCUUUCACCAACUACCACACGUAAUAUUAUGAAAAUAUUCAGAGAAUCCCGAAAAAUCACAGUACAUGUUGGGCAAGGCAGGAAACCUCAGUUGAAUGUGCUUGACCUUUGAGCCCUCAGAUGGCAUUUCAUAAGAAACCCGUCAUGUUGCAGUGUUAAAUAUAGCCACAUGGGCUCAGGAGUACUUCUGAAAACUGCUGUCACUUAACACAGUCUGCUGCUGCAUCAAGAAAUGCAACUUGAAACUCUGUUACUCUAGGAGAAAGCUAUACAUCAAUUCUAUGCAGCGAUGCUGCCAGGUUCUCUGGGCCAGAGCUCAUCUCAGAUAGUCAAAAAGACAGUGGAAAGGUGUGCUGUACUCCGAUGAGUCCACCUUUCAACUUGUUUCUGGGAAAAAUGGAUUUGGAGGACUCCGUCCCAAAGACCAAAGGGAUCAUCCAGACUUUCAUCAGUGACGGAUGCAAAAGCAAACAUCUGUCAUGGUAUAUAAUAUGAGUGCAUCAGUGCAAACUACAUGGGUGACUUGCAUAUGUGUGACGGUACCAUCGACAUGGAGCCAUAUAUUGGAGUUGUACAGAGAAAUAUACUGCCGUCAAGAUGUCUUUCAUGGGAAGUCCAUGGUUAUUAGAUCAAGACAAUGCCAGCUCUCAUUCUGCAUGUGCUACAACAGCGUGGUUUCGUUGAGUCAGAGUGUAUGUGUUAGACUUGCCUACCUGCAGUCCAGAUCUGACUCCUAUUGCAAAUGUAUGACCAGUCAUGAAAAGGAGAAUCGGACAACGACGAUCACAGACUGCUGAGCAUCUGAAGCCUCGUUUCAAGAGAAACUGGACAAAAAUUUUGCUUGGAAAAACUUUAAUAAUUAGUAUCCUUAAUUCCCAAAACAAUGAAACAUUGUAGUUAAAAGGACAGUUGAUGUGACACAUUGUUAAACAUGCCUCUGUCCCAACUUUUUUUGAGUGUUGCAGCCAUCAAAAUUUGUUCAUAUUUACAAAAUACAUUUAUUUUGGAAAUCUUUUCUUUGCACUUUUGUCAAUGAAAUAAAAGUUAAAGAGAAUGAACAAAUCACAGAUUCUUGAUUUCACUGCAUUUUUACAAAACGUCCAACUUCUCUGGAAAUGGGGUUGUACCUCAGGGGUUUGGAGGUUGCAUUUCAGUUACUUACAUUUUUCUGCUGGCGUUUCUUUUUCUUCUGCCUUUUAGAUAAUCUGUAAUUAAAUGAACCAAUCAGUGGACAGGAACUGCCAAUAAUGCUUCCAGAUGCUCUUAUCCUUAUGUAUUGCAGUCAAUAUGAAAAACUACGAAAAAUAUUUAAAAUGUAAGGACAUUUUGUUGUUUGAGAGUUGGGACUCAGCGACUUGUCUUCCUCCUCCAGCUGUUGCCGAAGCAAUGCCACCAUCUCUCUGUGUUUCUUAGACUUCUCAUGGUUUUUCAUACUGUUAUGUGAGAAAAAAAUUAUACUGCUGCAUUAAAUACAUGUAAUGCAAGUUAUCUUGCGCAAAAGCAUGCUGUUCAUUUGAGAUGAUUUAAAAAAAUGUAAUUAAAGUAGAAAAACAACA